GGUGAGUGCCCUGCACUUUCUCCUUCAGACCCAGGAUCAGUAUGGGGUAUGCAUAGUUAAUGUUCAGCAGGAGUUGCAGGGGUACUGGGAGCUGCUAGAGGAUCUGCACAACAAAGUGACCCUGCAGCCAGAAAAGUGUCAGGGCAUUGAGGAUCCUCACACUGUCCUCACUGACACUGAGGGCUUGUACACAAAACUGGGUCUGUUUCAGCGUAGGAUUCAUGAGUGUCAGGUGCACCUGAGCACAAGUACACAUCUUCUUGAGGAACUGGAAAAUAGGCAGCAGGAUCUGGCUCAGACUAUCGGCCUAACACUGGAGUCUACUUGGACUAAAGACCUUUUGCAGUGUAACACCCAACAGGGUUGCGAGGAGCCUGAAGCCUAUCUCAGGGGACUCGGGACAUGAGUCAAGGGACACUGUGGAUGGGUUAAAAUUUUGCAGUAAAGGUAGAAAGGGUUCUGACAUGAUUGUCACGUUUCGUGAGGCUCAUGCUCCACAGCGCGCUGCAUAAAGGGGAACUCGUGACAGAACCCCCCCCAAGGGCACUCCUCCCGGAGUGCCAUGAAACAUCCAUCUCCAUUGGCGGCCCCGGCUCCCUGGGCAGAAUGUCCGAAGGAGAGCCUGGAGACCGCACGGCGUUCUUGGAAACAACAAGGCAGAGCGACUUACAUGGCAGAGCAGGGAAGCAGAG
ensembl:lncRNA